AACGCACAUUGCGCCCUUUGGUAUUCCGAAGGGCAUGCCUGUUCGAGCGUCAUUAUCCCCCCUCAAACCUCGGGUUUGGUGUUGGACCGACGUUGGUCGUUACCCCGACCAACUGGUCUCAAAGACAAUGACGGCGUCCGUGGGACCCUCGAUACACCGAGCUUUCUUUUCGAAGCACGUACCGAGUUGCAAGGACCCACGCCCGCCGGUCGCUCUCCCCUUCUCGGAGAAACGCAAGUUUUUUCACAAGGUUGACCUCGGAUCAGGUAGGAAUACCCGCUGAACUUAA
rnacentral:misc_RNA from 3 species